rnacentral:lncRNA from 1 species
UUAGUGCUCUUUGAGAUGUCUUUCUGCUAAGUAGUGCUUCAUAGAGAUUGUGCUCUUCUGCUUUUUGCUAGAGGUUUUUUUUUCAAGAUCAGCUUUUGCUACCUGUUUGCCACAUUUGGAAGACCUGUCAUAUAUCUGAAACUUAGAAGAAAGUAAAAUUAUAAGACUCUAGCCCAGUACCUGAUGAUCUUGAUUUCCACUGGUAGGUUAAUUUGAAGCUUAGCAAUCACUGAGUGUUGUUUCAGAGAUUUCCAUGUUUCAAUCUCUAAAUCAGGCCCUUUUCCGGCUUCAGUAUAAGUAACCCCCGUCAGUACUGAAGUCAGUACAAAACAGAAGAGCCACUGCUAGAGAUGGAUUAUAGAAAUCGGUUAACCUUUAUAAAGUUUUGUGUUUUCUCAGUUUUAUGGUAUAGUGAUCAGAGUAAUAAGAAGAGAUUAAUGCUUUUGAAAAAUAAAACAUAUAAAAUAUGAGUGAAUAGUAUGAUGUCUCACAGUCUUGGCUUUUUCAUUUUCACAUGGAGUUUUAAUUUGUGUUCACUUAAUGGUAGGUAACUUACCUGUGUGGUGUCACACUCUUCAGAUUUGAAGAGUUUCUCGGUUAUCUGAGUUUUCAGCAGUUUGUUUUCUGUCUGCUGGGUUUACACCAUGUUCUCUUUUCAAGUACAGUUUCCAGGCCUAAUUCUUUUCUCUAAUCUAGAAUAAUUUAUUGCAGAGUGAGUAUUAUAAAGUUGAAAUUGAAUGACUAACAUUUGACAUUCUCUUGUUGCAGAUAUUAAAGCCAGUAAAAUGUCUCUUUUUUCUAGAUCUUGAGUUCGUUUUUUCCCCCUCUCACUCUGGUGUUACUUAGUCUUAUUGCUUUGUAUCCUCUUUAAGGACACAUAGGUGACCUAGGUGAGGAGGGGAGCGCCAUAGAAUAUGAGGAAGUGUACUUCCCUCUAUUUGUAUUGACAUAGCUUUUGCCCUCAUCCCUCUCUUCCAUUUUGGUAAGUCAUGCUCAGAGGUUAGGAUCCUUUGUUGUUAGGAUCCUUUCAAAAUAGUGUGUACUUCAAAUUUUAAAGGAAAAUUUUAAAAGCAAAAAAUUUUUGAAAAUAAUAAUUUUGUGACUUUUUUGGGUGACAGCCUAAGACUAUGGACUAAGGACUCAUGUUUUUUUGUAAUAGAACUUAGUUAUGACUAAUAAGCAAGGCCAUAAGCAAGGCCAUUUUGUUUUGCUAAUUUGAGAUUUAGGUGUGAUUUUCACUGUUGGGCUUCAUAGGUUGUAAGCAUUCACUUGCUCUUUAAAUCAAAUUCUUCUUUUGAAUGCAUUAUCACUUAUGCAUCAUAGGUGAUGCAGUAUACCUGGAUCAAAUAUACCUAGACAAAAGAAGCUGUAACAGAUACUCUUACCUAAAGUUCCCUGUGUGUGCUCUUUCUACUGUUCUGGUGGUAUGUUCCAAUUGACUAAGCAUGCUCAAAAUUGAUUCAUAAUCCCCAGAUAUAGAUUUCUCAGCAGAGUAAGGAAAAGAGUCUCAUGCCCCCGUCCCCUCUCCCCUCUGAGUGUGGAUGUUGGUUAAGGUGGGCUGGUAAUCACCAUGGGAUCAGAGCAGAACUUUCUUCAGGGCCUGGCUGCUUCCUGACUCAAAGAUUGUUUCUUUGUUCUCUAGGGUUGGGCAGUUUCCCAUUCUGGUUUCCCUCUGUCCCCCCACAUAGUGAGGAUUGUCAUGAUUAUUGUUGGAAAUAUUAUUUUGGAAAGUCCUAUACUUAAAAUGACAGCAUUAGUAUCAUAGUUUUUUUUUUUAAUAUUUAUUUUUUAGGUGUAGAUGGACACAACACAAUACCUUUAUUUUUAUGUGGUGCUGAGGAUAAAACCUGGGUCCCUCCCGUGCUAGGAGAGCGCUCUACCACUGAGCCACAAUCCCAGCCCAGUAUCAUAGUUUUUUAAACACCACAAAAGACAAAUAGGCUCCAGAGUUUAAAACUACUUUACCAAAUGCUGCUAGGGAUUUCCUAAAGUAGAAGGGUUUUUCUUUAAUGCUUUCCAGCUGCAUGGCCUGCAGAGGUCUAAGUUUCAUAGCUCACAUGAAUUAUGAGAUAACGGGUAUAAGGUCUUCAGAUGGAUGUAGGUGGUUUGCCCCCCCCCCGCUUUUGCAAUGCUGGGCAUCAAACCCAAGGCCUUGAACAUGCAAGGCAAAUGCUCUACCAUGGAGUAACAUUUUCAGCCCUGUGACAUGAAUAUUAAUAGUCUUAACUGCUGGACUUUUAAAUCUGUACAUGGUGCUAGUCAUUCUUGGUAACGGAGCUUGCAAGUAGAUUUUGAUCCUUGACAUUUUGUGUGAUUGCCUGUGGUUUCUUAUCAGUGUCCGUUCCUUUAUUCUUGCUUUGGUUUGCUACUUUAGACACCCUACUCCACACAUGACAUUUUACACUUUAGCUGUCACAAAAUGAGGUAUAUUAUCAUUGAGUAUAGAAGGGCAGUUUUACAGUGGUACAAGGUGGCUUGUUCCCCCAGGUUCAUUCAUCAUUACUAGGUAUCAGUUCUGUUUCAGGCUUCCUGGAUGUUACAAGGUGACCUGUAAAUCUGAAGCAGCAGGUUUACUUUGUUAAGUUAAAUGGGUCCAUUUGAGGCCUAGUGUCUGUCUUCUUGGUUCUCCUUCUGUGGUUCUGCUUAACAUUCCUUUUGAAUGGUGAAAGGAGAAAGAUACUAGAAAGAAGAUAGGUUGUUGAUGGUAAGGACGUCUGAGUCUUUAUCUCUUAUGGAAAAGUAGAAGCUGCCUUGGCUUGGGCAACUAGGAUCAAGAGGUGCAGAUGCAAGAGGUCCUGGCAAGUGGCUCUGGGGUCCAGUCUGUAUAAGAGCCUGAAAGCUUUCUAGCUUUGGAGGGACCUAGGUAUCAGUGUAUCUGUAUGAUGUGGGUAAGUUAGCAUUGCUUCCAGAUUUUGCUGGCUGUAGGUAUGUUUCACUGCAUACUAACUACAUAGUCCUUGUAAGUCACCUAGUACAUUUAAUGUUUGAAUGUUGUCCAUUAGAAUACUGCUUUUCUUCUUGGUUUUUUGAUUUUUUGAUUUAGAGAUGUUUUGAGUGGAAUAAAAUAUCAUUACUUUUUUAAAAAAAUAUUUCUUUUUUAGUUAUAGAUGGACACAAUAUCUUUAAUUUGUUUAUUUUUUAAGUGGUGCUGAGGAUUCAACCCAGUGCCUCACACAUUCUAGAUGAGUGCUCUACCACUGAGCCACAACCCCAGCCUUAUAAUUAAAUAUUAUUUGUAACCUCGUGUUGAUAUGAAUUCUUUCUAGAAUCUUGGAGUGAUGUUUUGCUGUAUUUAUUAUCUCCUUCAGAUUUCUCCCUAUUACCUAUGUAGGUGCAACUUGAAUUAUUGUUAUUAUUUUUUUACUCACUUUGCUUUAUAGGUUUCACCUGAUUUUAAAACUAGAGACUUCAUUUUCAUGAUUCAUUUGCUAUUCAAAGUUUUUUCCUAGUCUAGAUACUUGCUCUGUGGUCUUCUCAGCUGUUUCAGGGUUGACAUAUAUUGCUUAGGGAUUCAGGCACCUGUGACCAACACCUUUGAAUUUGCCUUUUGAUCUUAGCAAAAUAAAGUCAAAAGCAUGAGUGGUCAGGUGCAAUCUGUUGAAAUGGUCCAGCAUCAAGUACCAGUAUAAAAUGGUUUUUACUUAAAGGAUUUUAUUCAGGUAUAAGUUACAUACCAUACACUUUUGUUUAAAUGUUGGGAAGUUAUGGGAAGGGAUGAACUGUACUACUAUAUUGAUACAUAAAAAUGUCAGAAUGUGUUUGUCUGUGCAUGCCUGAUUUCUGAGGUUGCUAUCUGCCUUCUUUCAGGCAUUUGAUGAAAACACAGAUAAGCCAGUCACCUUUCAGAGCUUAUGUUAUUCAUUGGAAGUUUGAUAACUGUUUUGAAGAUCAGUUCAGUCAACUUUGAUGUUGGCUUUUGGCGAAAUUAUAAAAUCAAAGAGUAGUAAUUGAUCAUUAUUCUUAGAUUUUGGAAAGUCAGUUAAUUUCAGCUAAUUAUAGUUAACCUUACAUUUAUAAAGAAAUUCAACAGGGGAAUAAUGCUCUCUUUUUUCCACUCCAUUUGGAAUCUGGGACACACUGUGUGCUGUGCUUCCUGUGUAUUUUCCACUGCCUAGAAGCGGAUGGUAAGAGUCUACCUAUUCUACACUUACUGCACUGUGGCUGGAGCCAGAUGUGAUGACUUCUAAAGGGUUUUUUUUUGGGGGGAGGCAGGGGAUUCUACCAGUGAGGAGAGAAAAAAACAAGUGAUAUGCUCUGAAAUGAACCUGUAGCUUUUUAAGGUGGUUUAUACCAGUAGCACAUGUUAAAUAGGAGUUUAAAGACAACAAAAUGUGACUUGAUAUAAAAAUGUCAAGACAGUAGGAUCAGGUUUAAUUACAUUUUAAAAAGCUACCUUAGUUUUUAGAUUAACUGUUCUUUAAAGUAUUACUAGAAGUUUGUUUUUUCUAUUUUGGAAGGAAAUAUACACUAAAAGCUAUUUCUCUUGAAAAAAUGAAUAUUUGAGAAGAGUUUGAAUGGUCUAGAAAUAAAUGCUGUACUAAAUCUGCGAAAAUUAAUUCUGCUAAGUUCUUAAGAAAAAGAGAGUAAUUUAGCAGAGAAGGCUGUUGGGAAUGCCUGGAUUCACCUUUUGGUUCUGUUCUGGGGAUUCUGUGGACAAGGUGCAUUAUUACAGAGAAGUAGAACUUCAGAACUUCAAGGUACUUCUCUGUCAUCUUGGCAGCAGUUCUUUUCUUUUUUUGGAUUGUUUUGGUAGUACUGGGGAUUGAACCCAGGGCCUUGGAUGUGCUAGACAAGUGCUCUAUCACUGAGUUAUAUCCCUAGCUAUUUUUAUUUUGAGACAGGGUCUUAAUAAAUUUCCCAGGCUGACUGCAAGCUUGUGAUCCUCCUGCCUCAGCCUCCCAAGUAGUUGGAAUUGGAAUUAUAGGCAUGUGCCGCUGGCCAGCAGUGGGUUUUAAUUAGGAGUACACUUGACAAUCCACAGGGAGGCCUUCCAAAUCCAUUUGCAUGAGCUUCAUUUGGAAAAUAAAGAGGGUUAGGCAUGUGUGUUUUAGAAAAAAGUUUUCUCAGGUGAUUCUCAUGUUCACCUGAUUUAAUCAAACAAUCUCAUUUAAUAAAAGAUUCAGAGAAGUUGGCAUUUGAUGGACAUUCAGUAUGGCCAUUGCUUCUCUUGCAGUUUUGUAAUGGGAUGUCAUACAGAGCCCUUGGGAGGUUUCAAUCAGGGAAGGGAUUAAACCACAGAGAAUUGAGAGACUGGAGGUUGGUAGGCAGAGGGAUACAAGCAAUUGAAUACAGUUGGGAGUGACUUGGAGUGAGUGCUGGGGACCUUGGAUUUGUGAGAAACAAAAAUUCACUGGAAGUGAAGCCAGAGAAGUGGGAGAAGGGGAAGAUGUGCUUGAGUUUUUGACCUGGUAACAGAAAACAGAAAAGGUGCUGGGUUAGGAGUGGUUUGAGUUCAGUUGUAGAAUUGUGGGAUUUUAAGUUUUGGUGGUACAGAUGGAUAGAGCUGUUCUGCACAGUUUGUAAAUAAAAAGAUAUAUGAAGGCAGGAAUAAAGUUGGAAGAACUGUGUGUAGAGGAAGCGACCAAGUAAGGAUCAGGCCAGCCUUCCAAUUUGUAGGCCAAGAUAGAUUAUUCACUGUAGGGCCUACUCACGGUUGGCUGUUCAGGCUGGUUUCUGUGUCUAAUCAGAACAGUGAACACUUGUUGAAAACUUUGAAUGUUCCAGACGGUUUCCAAAGAACUUAUAUACAUGUAUGUGUAAAAAGGCCAGUUGAAAUCCUAACAGUAACCUUGUAAAGGUCAGUAAAUUGCCCUGAAUUUUUUUAUCAUCAUGCUAAUUGAAUUUAUGUUCAGCAGAGGCCUCCUGGCUCCAGAGCACACACAGAGCUGCUGCACUGUGAAGGGGUGUGGGCAGAAGCUGGACUGUCACAUGUGAGAGAGAGAGAGAGCGAGAGAGAGAGAGCGAGCGAGAGCGAGUAAUUAAGUGAGCCAGUUAUAGCUAAGUACAUGGAGCCCAGGAAUAAAGUUCCUCACUCAUCCUUUUCAAAAGUCAACACGUGGAAGGAAUUUGAAGUUUGUGUAGAUGGAGAAGUUGUUAGGUUUGGGAGAGCUGAACUUGUCAUAGAAAAUAAGAUGGCAGUGGAGAGAAGUGUGAAGAUGGAUAGAGGGAGGUGGGGAUACCAAAGUGCUUCUGGAGCAACAGAUUCCCACCGUGGUUGAGGCCCAGAGUGCAGGGGUGGGAGCUUUGCUUUCUCUCAGAUCAGGGUUGAAGUUAGGUUUAGGACCAGCAACCAAAUGAGGGAACUUCUGCUUGUCAACCUAUUUUUUAUACAGAAAGUGAGUGGGUGGGUUGGUUGUCUGCAUGCCUAGUUUAGGGCCCUCUGGGUAACCAUGAAAUUGACUUAAAAUGGAAUCGAGAGAGAAGAUUUUUUUUUUGGGGGAUUCUUUCUGUUGGGAAAUUUGUUAGUACAGUAUGAUUUAAAAUGGUUUGGCUGUCAGAUCCUCUAAUUCUGUUUCUCACCCCUAGUGAAUUAGGUUAAGGAAAAACAAAACAAAACUAGUAUUUCUAGAUUUAAGCUACUAUCUAGCUGGAUGUGGUGUGGUGAAUGACUAUAAUCCCAGCAACUUGGAAAGCAGAGGCAGGAGGAUUGCAAUUUGUAAAGCCAGCCUCAGCAAUUUAGGCCCUAAGCAACUUGGCAAGACCCUGUCUCAAAAUAAAAAAAAUUAAAAGGAUUGGGGAUGUGGCUCAGUAGUUAAGCACCUCUGGGUUCAAUCCCUGGUAUCAAAAACAACAAUAACAAAAAUAGACAAAAUGAAGUGAUGUGUGCUAUAUUUCAGGUUCAGGUAGCUCUCUCUUUCCUACUCAUUUCACUUCCCCUGCCAUGUUACAUAUAAUGUCUUAAUUUGUAAGGAUGAUGAUGUCAUCUUUCCAGGAUGGUUAUGUGUACAUUUAUAAGAUAAACAAUUUUGUUUAUGGGAUGCUGGUAGAAUUUGGACUGGCAUCUAGUUCAAAGCUUAGACCUUGCAUGACCUAUUUUUCCAGCAUUGCUUUUGAUAUGGAUUUUUGCAAUGCAGGAGGAGACAAAAGAAAAUGCACUAAGACCAAGUACAAAACUUAUAUUUUCUUACAUACAUUCUUCUCUUGUCUAUGAAUCAUUGUUCAUGAAAUUCCCUAUCUUUGAUAUGGAAACUUGUUUUUACCUCAGUACUUCUGGGUUAGAUAAGCUUGAUGUUUUAGAAAUCAAAACAGCUGAUAACUGUUUGAGAAGCUUAACAUACCCACUCAACUGUGGAUGUUUAAAAGUUGUUCUAUCUUGACAGGGUUGGAGGUGUAGCUUAGCGGUAGAGUGUAUGCUUAGCAUUUGUGAGGCUCUGGAUUCAAAUCCUAGUGCACAGAAAAACUGUGCUUUCUUGGGCUGAGGAUGUAGCUCAUUGAUAGAGCACUUGCCUAGCAUGUGAGGCUCUGGGUUCCAUCCCCAGCACCUCAAAAGAAAGUGCAACAUUUUAAAUUUUUUUUUCUAUCAUAAAAUGUAAAUUAUUCCAUUCCACAAAGGGGUAAGAGACAUAGGGUUCUAGAUACUCUCUUCUUAUUUUUAACUGAGGUUCUUUGUGAAUCUAUUAGAACUAAUUUUGGUCAUGAAAAUGUUCUGAAGUGGGAAAAAGAAAAGUCAAAAUUGUAAUCUGGUUAGGGCUUUGGGUUAUUUGGGUUAUUUUGAGGUACUGUGAGGCCAAAGCUGUGGAGUAGUGGUCUCAGGCCAUUACUUGUAUAUAUUUACUUCUCCUUUCUCCCCUUUCUCUCUCUUUCAUGCACACACAAAAAUCUGUAUACAGACAUAUACUUUUAGUAUUAGGAUUAUUGAGAAAGGUGUCAGUUUUUCCCAUGUACUGUCAGAAAUUGUUGAAGUGUAAAUCACUGCAUCAAACAGCAUAUCAAAAAGUGUCUAAUGGUGACUCCAAAUGUAUCAGGGGUCUGGGAUCAGAGUUACUAUGCUCCCUGAGCCUAGUUUAUAUUAUAGCUGGUAGAUACUAGUAGCUAGGUGGGCCUCCUUUAUUUUUUUCUUGGGAUACUUGGGUAUUGAACCCAAGGCCUUGUGGCAUGCUAGGCUCCAAAAAGUUUUUUAAGUGAUCAGUAUUACAUUUUUUAAGUGAUUAGGUUGUUACACAAUUAAAAUAAAAAGAUUUUGUUUUCAUUAGGUGUAUUUAUUAAAAAUGAAUUUUAUAUUUUAUUACUGUAGGAAUUAGAAUCCUUUUAUUAUUGGUAAGGCUUAGCAUUGAUGUUAACCUUGCUUGGGAAUGUGUGUCAUCCUUAUCAAGGUAGAGGUGUUUUUGAAGGGAAAACAGUUUGGGUUCUAAUGCAAAGCUGAAAUCUGUAGAAGACUUUCAAAGCUUAGAGAACCUAGAGAAAAGUAUUUCAUUGGUUUUCUGGUAGUUUUCUUGCCUUUGGGAAGUUGUUAUAAGAAUGGAAGGAUGUUGAUAUUGGCCAAAUUAUGUUGUUAUACUGUGUGCAUGUACAAAUGUGUAACAACAAAUCCCAUCAUUAUGUACAACUGUAAUGUAUCAAUAAAAAAAUGUGUGUGUGUGUGUUGGGGGUAAAUGGAAGGAUGGAUGGUUUAUGUAGCAUUCCCUCCACUGCUUGUAACAGGAAAUGUGAAUAUCUGUGUGUGCUCUGUCUUGUAAACCUGUUUUUUUUAGAACAUUUAGAUCAAAGGUAUGCAGUCGCAUUUUUAGGGGCUCAUCUACAUUGUCUGUUAGAAGAACAAGGGUACUUAUUUGAAGGGCUUAGGAACUGGUGACAGAAGAGAUGUCUUCUUCCUCCAUUUGUUAAAACAUUGCUUUUUAGAUUCCAGGUACAAACUUUUUCCCUAGUGUUUCAACUCAGUUCAUUUGCUUUGAUUGAGAAAGAAGAGUCCCUUUGGGUUCUUAGAAUAUUGAUGGCAGAGAUGUCUGUGAAGCAGGUUGUCUCUUUCCUUGAAAAAGGGCUGUAUGGCCAGAAUGCCUUUUUGGAGUGACCAAUAAUCCUUGUUUGAGGGGUGUUUUGAAUUUCUCGGGGGACAUGUGUGUGCUUGUCUCAGCCAGCACUGAUGAGUCUGACUGGCCCACAAAGUCUGCUAACCUAGUUUAUAACCUGCUUUGCUGAUAGUUUUCUUCUGUGUCCCUUUGGGCAAGAAUUACCAUGUGGCCCACAUGGGCCAAGCCUCUGCGUUUGUCCUAAUGACCUCAUGCCUUUUUUUUUUUUUUAAACCAGGAAGAGGAAGAACAGGAGGAAGAGGAUGAUGAUGAAGAUGAUGAUGACACUGAUGAUUUAGAUGAACUUGACACUGACCAGUUGCUGGAGGCGGAACUGGAGGAGGAUGACAACAAUGAGAAUGCAGGAGAGGAUGGGGACAAUGACUUCUCUCCCUCUGAUGAGGAGCUAGCAAAUCUUUUAGAGGAAGGAGAAGACGGGGAGGAUGAAGACUCUGAUGCAGAUGAGGAAGUG